CGAAGUCUUUCUUUUCCUCAUUCGUUUUCGCUCAAUCCUGAUUUUAAUUACAUUGCAACUUCUUAUCACCGAUUUCUCCCUGUGUUUGUUUGUGAUUUGACGGGGAUCACCUGUUUGUUUUUGUUGUAUUUUCAUGGAGAUCCCAGUGAUCAAUCGAAUUGGCGAUUUUGAAGCCGGCAUAACCUCUCUGCAAAACCCAUCUUU
rnacentral:misc_RNA from 1 species